rnacentral:tRNA from 1 species
UAUUAGAAAGCUAUACUAGCUCCAGACUUUUAAUCUGCUUUUUAACAAUCUUAAUUUGUUUCUAAUAA